rnacentral:ncRNA from 1 species
ACGAUGGAGAGUUUGAUCCUGGCUCAGGAUGAACGCUGGCGGCGUGCCUAAUACAUGCAAGUCGGACGGAGCGCUUCGGCGCUCAGUGGCGAACGGGUGAGUAGCACAUGGGCAACCUGCCCUUCAGAGGGGGACA